rnacentral:rRNA from 1 species
GAUCAUGGCUCAGGAUGAACGCUAGCGACAGGCCUAACACAUGCAAGUCGAGGGGCAGCGGAGAGGUAGCAAUACCUUUGCCGGCGACCGGCGCACGGGUGAGUAACACGUAUGCAAUCCACCUGUAACAGGGGGAUAACCCGGAGAAAUCCGGACUAAUACCCCAUAAGGAUGUCUGUCCGCAUGGGCGGUCAUCUAAAGGUUUUCCGGUUACAGAUGGGCAUGCGUUCCAUUAGCUGGUUGG